ensembl:lncRNA
GGAACACUUAGGGAAUUGAAUAACAAAGUAAUUGUACCACCAACAAUUAUUUUUUGACAAAUCAUGGGAGAUUCCCAGGGCCUGGAGCAAAACAAAUAUUGUACAGAUUUCUCAGAGAAGAACUGAAGCAUGAUCCUGAUAAUUACCAUCUCAUACAUCAGUUUUCUCUCCCUGGUAAUAUAAUAGCGCAGCUAAUUUCCUGAGAGCUAUUACCCCCAGUACAGACCAACACACAGACAGUGUGAGGCUGACUGACAGCUCCAGUCCCAACCAGGCGAUGGGAGAAUUACUUGCUUGGCUGUGGUGCAUCCAACAGCGUGCCCUGAUCCCACAGAGCAGCCCUGGGCGGGAACCACACAAGCUUGUACUCUUAAGGGUCUGCAGCCUCGGUGUAUGAUAUCAAAACUGAAAUCAGGCCCAGCAGUGUUCUCCGCUAAACUGGGCCAAGAAGCAUAAUAAAGAUUUGGCCUUGCUAUAAAAAUGUGCCGUGCUGUACUGCUACUCUGCUUAUUCCAUGCUGGCUUCCGGGCUUCUAAUAAAGGAACAGGCAUUGGGCAAAGCACCC